rnacentral:piRNA from 1 species
UCUAGAUCAAGGGCCUCUGGGUAGUAAA